rnacentral:rRNA from 1 species
AGCGAACGCUGGCGGCAGGCCUAACACAUGCAAGUCGAACGAAGUCUUCGGACUUAGUGGCGGACGGGUGAGUAACACGUGGGAACGUGCCUUUAGGUUCGGAAUAACUCAGGGAAACUUGUGCUAAUACCGAAUGUGCCCUUCGGGGGAAAGAUUUAUCGCCUUUAGAGCGGCCCGCGUCUGAUUAGCUAGUUGGUGAGGUAAAGGCUCACCAAGGCUACGAUCAGUAGCUGGUCUGAGAGGAUGAUCAGCCACAUUGGGACUGGGACACGGACCACACUCCUACGGGAGGCAGCAGUGGGGAAUCUUGCGCAAUGGGCGAAAGCCUGACGCAGCCAUGCCGCGUGAAUGAUGAAGGUCUUAGGAUUGUAAAAUUCUUUCACCGGGGACGAUAAUGACGGUACCCGGAGAAGAAGCCCCGGCUAACUUCGUGCCAGCCGCCGCGGUAAGAC